CCGCGUGGGUGAAGAAGGCCUCUCGGGUUGUAAAGCCCUUUUGUUGGGAAAGAAAAGCAGUCGGUUAAUACCCGAUUGUUCUGACGGUACCCAAAGAAUAAGCACCGGCUAACUUCGUGCCAGCAGCCGCGGUAAUACGAAGGGUGCAAGCGUUACUCGGAAUUACUGGGCGUAAAGCGUGCGUAGGUGGUGGUUUAAGUCUGUUGUGAAAGCCCUGGGCUCAACCUGGGAAUUGCAGUGGAUACUGGGUCACUAGAGUGUGGUAGAGGGUAGCGGAAUUCCCGGUGUAGCAGUGAAAUGCGUAGAGAUCGGGAGGAACAUCCGUGGCGAAGGCGGCUACCUGGACCAACACUGACACUGAGGCACGAAAGCGUGGGGAGCAAACAGGAUUAGAUACCCUGGUAGUCCACGCCCUAAACGAUGCGAACUGGAUGUUGGGUGCAAUUUGGCACGCAGUAUCGAAGCUAACGCGUUAAGUUCGCCGCCUGGGGAGUACGGUCGCAAGACUGAAACUCAAAGGAAUUGACGGGGGCCCGCACAAGCGGUGGAGUAUGUGGUUUAAUUCGAUGCAACGCGAAGAACCUUACCUGGUCUUGACAUCCACGGAACUUUCC
rnacentral:rRNA from 1 species